rnacentral:lncRNA from 1 species
AUAAACACAGUAAAUCUCAUGAAUGUGUAAGUUUAAAUUAUUGAUAUAGGCACACACAGACAGAGGGACUUCAUUCUUUGCAGGUUCUAUAGUAUUUCAUGCCCACUCUCCUUUCUUCCUUUGCUGCUCACAUCAUCCUUCCUUCAAGGAAUUUGGGGGAAUGGUAGACUGAAAGUGGCCCUUUCUGCAUAAUUCUUCUUGAAAAUAAACAUUUGCUCUCUUCUUAGAGGCUGACUAUACUGAGAGCUACCACUCCUUGGCUGCUUAUUAGCCAUUGGGUUAUUGCUAAGCCCUUUACAUAUGUUAUAUCAUUUAAUUGUAUUGAAUCUUCACCACAACACUUCAAUGGAAAUAUUUUUCCAAAUAAGGAAAGGUGAGAAUCAAAGUAGUUGUAUUAGUCUGCAUUGCUAUGAAGAACUACCUGAAACCGGGUAAUUUAUAAAGAAAAGAGGUGGGCUGGGCACGGUGGCUCAUGCCUAUAAUCCUAGCACUUUGGGAGGCCAAGGUGGGCAGACCACGAGGUCGGGAGUUAGAGACCAGCCUGGCCAACAUGGUGAAACCCCGUGUCUACUAAACACACACACACACACACACACAGAUUAGUUGGGUGUGGUGGUGCACACCUGUAAUCCUAGCUACUCAGGAGACUGAGGCAGGAGGAUUGCUUGAACCCUGGAGGUGGAGGUUGCAGUGAGCCAAGAUCACACCACUGCACUCCAGCCUGAGUGACAGAGCGAGACUCCAUCUCAAAAAAAAAAAAAAAAAAAAAAAGAAAGAUGUUUAAUUGACUCUCAGUUCCACAGGCCAUACAGGAAGCAUGGCUUGGGAGGCCUCAGGAAACUGACAAUCAUGGCAGAAGGUGAAGGGGAAGGAGGCACGUCUUACUUGGCUGGAGAAGGAGGAAGAGAGCUAAAGCGGGAGUGCUGUACACUUUUAAACAACCAGAUCUCAUGAGCACUCUAUGAUGAGACAGCACUGGGGGAUGGUGCUAAACCAUGAGAAACCACCCCCAUGAUCCAAUCACCUCCCAUCAGGCUCCACAUCCAACACUGGGGAUUACAAUUCAACAUGAGAUUUGGGUGGGGACACAGAGCCAAACCAUGUCAGUAGCAAAGAGAUUUUCCCACACAGCUAAAAAAAAAAAAAAAAAAUGGAGAAUCUGGAUGUGUGCUUAGGUUUGUCUGAUUCCCGGUACACUCCCCUAUGCCAUUUCUGAUCUGCAAAGAACCUGAUCCCAAAGCCUAAUCCCAAUAUGAUCCUAGAGCCAAGAGAUGAGGCGUGAAGUAGCCACCUACUUUGUGUGCUUUCAAAUCAGAUAUGGCAAGAUUCUUUGAAAAAUCAGUCAACUGGAUUAAGCAAUGCCUAAGUAUGAAAGGAUCCUUAGAGGAACUAAACCAUUUCUUCAUUUUGCUCCAUGUUCUUUCUGUGGCUCUACCAAGUUUGUAGGUUAAGAGCAAGGCAUCAAAACUUACUGAGUUUUUCUUCGACACUGAAUUGACUCGUUGUCUCAAGAACAGGGAGUCAUUGCCCUAGUCUCAUCUCUUAACAUUUACUUUUCUUUCUUUUGACUAAUGGAGAUGGUGCUCCCUGCUCUCUCUAGGAGACCGCAGGACCUAGAUGAUAACCUGCAUCCCUAAUCCUAAAGGGAGCCUAAGAGCAGUAAUGAUGGCCCUCUAUUUGCAAUAGAUUACACUUUUCCCAUAUAAAG